GUCAGAUAGUGCAGUGGUUAGCGCUCUAGAGUCAUAUUUGCAAGGUCGCCGGUUCGAGUCUGGUGGAUGACA